rnacentral:rRNA from 1 species
AGAGUUUGAUCCUGGCUCAGGAUGAACGCUGGCGGCGUGCUUAACACAUGCAAGUCGAACGGGGUGCCUUAGAAAGAGGAUUCGUCCAAUUGAUAAGGUUACCUAGUGGCGGACGGGUGAGUAACGCGUGAGUAACCUGCCCUGGAGUGGGGAAUAACAGCUGGAAACAGCUGCUAAUACCGCAUAAUGCAGUUGGGUCGCAUGGCUCUGACUGCCAAAGAUUUAUCGCUCUGGGAUGGACUCGCGUCUGAUUAGCUAGUUGGUGGGGUAACGGCCCACCAAGGCGACGAUCAGUAGCCGGACUGAGAGGUUGGCCGGCCACAUUGGGACUGAGACACGGCCCAAACUCCUACGGGAGGCAGCAGUGGGGAAUAUUGCACAAUGGGGGAAACCCUGAUGCAGCGACGCCGCGUGAGUGAAGAAGUAAUUCGUUAUGUAAAGCUCUAUCAGCAGGGAAGAAAAUGACGGUACCUGAGUAAGAAGCCCCGGCUAACUACGUGCCAGCAGCCGCGGUAAUACGUAGGGGGCAAGCGUUAUCCGGAUUUACUGGGUGUAAAGGGAGCGUAGACGGCAGUGCAAGUCUGGAGUGAAAGGCGGGGGCUCAACCCCCGGACUGCUCUGGAAACUGUACGGCUGGAGUGCAGGAGAGGUAAGUGGAAUUCCUAGUGUAGCGGUGAAAUGCGUAGAUAUUAGGAGGAACACCAGUGGCGAAGGCGGCUUACUGGACUGUAACUGACGUUGAGGCUCGAAAGCGUGGGGAGCAAACAGGAUUAGAUACCCUGGUAGUCCACGCUGUAAACCGAGGGAUAAUAGGUGUGGGGGGUCUGACCCCCUCCGUGCCGCAGUUAACACAAUAAGUAUCCCACCUGGGGAGUACGAUCGCAAGGUUGAAACUCAAAGGAAUUGACGGGGGCCCGCACAAGCGGUGGAGUAUGUGGUUUAAUUCGAAGCAACGCGAAGAACCUUACCAGGCCUUGACAUCCCCACGGAUGCAGGGCAAUGCCUGCAGCCCCUCGGGGCGUGGGAGACAGGUGGUGCAUGGUUGUCGUCAGCUCGUGUCGUGAGAUGUUGGGUCAAGUCCCGCAACGAGCGCAACCCCUGCCCCUCGUAGCCAGCACGCGAUGGUGGGCACUCUAGGGAGACUCCCAGGGAUAACCUGGAGGAAGGCGGGGACGUCGUCAAAUCAUCAUUCCCCUUCUGGCUUGGGCUACACACGCGCUACAAUGGCGUAAACAAAGGGAAGCGAGCCCGCGAGGGGGAGCGAAUCCCAAAAAUAACGUCCCAGUUCGGUCU